rnacentral:rRNA from 1 species
CCUACGGGCGGCAGCAGUGGGGAAUAUUGCACAAUGGGCGCAAGCCUGAUGCAGCCAUGCCGCGUGUGUGAAGAAGGCCUUCGGGUUGUAAAGCACUUUCAGCGGGGAGGAAGGCGUUAAGGUUAAUAACCUUGUCGAUUGACGUUACCCGCAGAAGAAGCACCGGCUAACUCCGUGCCAGCAGCCGCGGUAAUACGGAGGGUGCAAGCGUUAAUCGGAAUUACUGGGCGUAAAGCGCACGCAGGCGGUCUGUCAAGUCGGAUGUGAAAUCCCCGGGCUUAACCUGGGAACUGCAUUCGAAACUGGCAGGCUAGAGUCUUGUAGAGGGGGGUAGAAUUCCAGGUGUAGCGGUGAAAUGCGUAGAGAUCUGGAGGAAUACCGGUGGCGAAGGCGGCCCCCUGGACAAAGACUGACGCUCAGGUGCGAAAGCGUGGGGAGCAAACAGGAUUAGAUACCCUAGUAGUC